GACGAACGCUGGCGGCGUGCUUAACACAUGCAAGUCGAACGGAAAGGCCUCUUUCGGGGGGUACUCGAGUGGCGAACGGGUGAGUAACACGUGAGUAACCUGCCCUUGACUUUGGGAUAACUUCCGUAAACUGGGGCUAAUACCGGAUAGGAGCUCCUGCUUCAUGGUGGGGGUUGGAGAGUUUCGGCGGUUGGGGAUGGACUCGCGGCUUAUCAGCUUGUUGGUGGGGUAGUGGCUUACCAAGGCUUUGACGGGUAGCCGGCCUGAGAGGGUGACCGGCCACAUUGGGACUGAGAGACGGCCCAGACGCCGACGGGAGGCAGAAGUGGGGAAGAUUGCACAAGGGGUGGAAGCCGGAUGCAGCAACGCCGUGGGCGGGAGGACGGCCUUCGGGUUGAAAAACGCAUUCGCUCAUGACGAAGCUUUGUGUGACGGUAGUGGGUAAAGAAGCACCGGCUAACUACGUG
rnacentral:rRNA from 1 species